UACGUAGGGUCCGAGCGUUGUCCGGAAUUACUGGGCGAAAGAGCUCGUGGGUGGUUUGUCGCGUUGUUCGUGAAAACUCACAGCUCAACUGUGGGCGUGCGGGGCGAUACGGGGCAGACUAGAGUACUGCAGGGGGAGACUGGAAUUCCUGGUGUAGCGGUGGAAUGCGCAGAUAUCAGGGAGGGAACACCGGGUGGGCGAAAGGCGGGGUCUCUGGGGCCG
rnacentral:rRNA from 1 species